rnacentral:RNase_P_RNA from 1 species
GAGAGGGAGCACGCGGUUUACGGUGAAUAAUCACUGAGGAAAGUCCUCCCGCCUUCAGGCACGCAGCCGUACGCAAGUACGGGUGGCGAGAGUCACAGCUCUGGAACAGAAACGAUACGCAUCCGGCGGAGUAAUGACGCAGAAAUGCAGAACGCUGAAACCGGUAUGCGAUGGAACGGCGAAUCUCUGCGGGCGAAAGUUGAAACAGGGUUAAAAGACCGCCUGAUCAAUACCCGGGUACAACGCUAAGCCAAAUACCGCUAAAACAGAAGGAGGCUUAUCACUCCGACUC